rnacentral:tRNA from 1 species
AGGAGCGUAGCUCAGCUGGUUAGAGCGCCGCCUCGACAAGGCGGAGGUCCUCGGUUCAAUUCCGAGCGUUCCUACCA